GCGAUUCACAUACGUAUUUACCAUAGACUGUAUAUAGUGGUAUUUACGCAGCUAAUCAACGUCAGGCGUCCUUAUGUGCAGCCACCGUUGUUCUCAUAGAUAUGAAUGAGUAGAUAGGACACGCCCCUUUGAGCUGCGUGCUACAGCGAGGCUAAGCUAGUGGGAGCAAAGUUUCAGUGCAUUCCGUUGAUGUAGACGGCAUGAAAACGGAAACAACAAGUAUGCCGUCUCACUGUGCUGCAUACAGUUACACACUACGUCGUACGAUUGAGACAAGGAAACUUGGAAUGACUUUUCAUAGGUUUCCCAGAGACUAUGGGUUGAGGAGGAAUUGGAAGUUUGCCGGCUUAGACCUGGUGUCAUUCCAUCAGUGUUAAACUUCCCGGCUCAUCUUGGAAGAGUACGUGCCAGAAAGACCACGACCAAGCAGCCUUGAGAUCUUAGGCAGCGUCUCCCUCAGGUCCCUCUCUAUCUCCCUACACAUCCACCAACCACUGGAACACAUCUCCAAAGUUCUGCUGGGCCAGCUCAGCUUCCCCUCAGAAGAAGUUCCGCCAGAUGAAGGAGCCUUUUGAGAGGCAGCUGGCAUCAUGAUUGGACUGUACUUUGGUCUGUUCCAGUCCAGCUUCAGCUCCAGAGACGGCAGGCGGGACGAGUCAACGGAGGUCGGGUGGACGAAGGCAUGCAGCUGAGUACAAUCCAGAAAACAACAGAGGAGGAGUGCAGCGGCCCAGGACCAGAACAAACAGAGUAGCAUGACCAAAGAACUACAGACUCUUCACAACCUGCUCAAACUCUUGGUACAGGACCUCACCACACGGGUCAAGAAGGUUUCUGUCUCAUUUCUACUCUGAAGCUCACCUUCUCCUGCUCAAACUGCUGACAAAUGUUUCUGCUGCUCUAAAGUCUGGUCUCCAGAACUUCCUAAAAACUCUCAAAGGCUCUUCUGCUGCAGGUUGCUUUGUAGAACUGUUGCAGAAAACCUCACUAAACCACAUGGAGGAGCCUCAAGAUAGUCGUCCAAAUGAAACCGUACAAAAACCAAACUAGCACAACCCAAACGCUAAA
ensembl:lncRNA